rnacentral:rRNA from 1 species
GAUGAACGCUGGCGGCAUGCCCAACACAUGCAAGUCGGACGGGCAGUGGUGUUUCUUGUGGCGGUCGGGUUAGUAACGCGUAAGAACCUGCCCUUGGGAUGGGAACAAUAGCUGGAAACGGCUGCUAAUACCCCGCAGGCUUAGGAGCAAAAGGAGUAUUCCGCCCGAGGAGUGGCUUGCGUCUGAUUAUCUAGUUGGUGCAGCAAUAGCUGACCAAGGAGAUGAUCCGGAGAUGGUCGGAGAGGAUGAUCGGCCACACUGGUACUGAGACACGGAGCAGGCACCUACGGGAAACAGGAGAAGGGAAGACUGAGCAAUGGGGGGUGGCUUGAGAAAGCAAUGGCAUGUGAAAGCAGUGGGAGCAGGGGAGAAGAAAUGCUUAAGUCGCUGAAGAAGCCAUGACGGUAUCUGAGGAGUAAGCAACGGCUAACUCUGUG